rnacentral:lncRNA from 1 species
UCCAUGGAAUUAGUUUUUGAUACUUAUUCUCAAAAUAUUGAGAAUUAGAGAUAUGUAUUUAAUUUUUAAAUACUCUCAGUCAUAGGAUCAUCAUGAGGAUGGUGAUCGAUCCGGAUAGACUGGCGCACAGUUCGCUUUCUUCAGGAUAGAUGACUUUCUGAUAUAUAGUGUAGAGACACUGGGUGACGAGUGUAGAUAGUUGUUAGAGAACAACUAGUACUGAGCGUGACUAUACGAGAGAUCACUUGGAUUUCUACUCGAUUAUCAGUGAUUAUCUCAAUGCUGUAGUUGUGUGACUGGUCCUUUGAUCUGAGA